UACGUAGGGGGCAAGCGUUGUUCGGAAUCACUGGGCGUAAAGGGUGCGUAGGCGGCGGAGUAAGUCGGGUGUGAAAUUUGAAGGCUCAACCUUCAACUAGCACCUGAUACUGCUUUGCUCGAGACCUGGAGAGGAGCUUGGAAUUCUCGGUGUAGCAGUGAAAUGCGUAGAUUUCGAGAAGAACGCUCGCUGCGAAAGCGAAGCUCUGGCCAGCGUCUGACGCUGAGGCACGAAGGCUAGGGGAGCAAACGGG
rnacentral:rRNA from 1 species